GACCCUGAUGCUGGGAAAGAUUGAAGGCAGGAGAGAAGGGGCUGACAGAGGAUGAGAUGGUUGGGUGGCAUCACCGGCUCAAUGGACAUGAGUUUGAGCAAGCUCUGGGAAAUGGGCAAGGACAGGGAAGCCUGGCGUGCUGCAGCCCAUGGGAUCGCUAAGAGUCGGACAUGACGGAGCAACCGAAUAACAACACCACCACCACAUGGAAUUUCUUAAGCCUGAAUAUUGUCUAAAUAAAGAGAUUACUCGGGGAGAAAAAUUAGCUAGCUGCAAAAAUCUUCCAGGGUUUUAAGAGAAGUUAUUAAGCAAUCAUAGUCUUGAGCGAAUAAACUGGGCUAGUUAAAAGUCACAACUGAAUGUCAGCUCUUGUCUUGCUUGAGAAAGCUGGUAAGGGCAGUUUCUAAACCAAGGGAAUCUGACUGUUCUGUGUUCGAUUUGUUAGGUCUGGCUCAGCGUGCUGAACUCUGCUGGCAGCUGAAAGGGGAAGUCGGGGAAAAAAAGGCAAGUUCCCGGUGCAGAGGUGCUCUGCAGCAUAAAACUGGCAUUGGAGGAGCUGCCGUUGUCACGCUGUACCAGAUGGGCUUUCCUGAAGCUGCCAGAGACUGGAAACUCUUGGGUUCCCAGCAGCCUCAUCAGAUAAAUUAGAAAGGCUACCUCAGUAGCAGGUAUAGAAACCUCCAGGUAUUUUGGGAACCAUGGAAAGGAAGGAAUUCACCUAGAUCUGUCGGACAAAAUCUGUGGCAAGCUCUUGUCAUGACUUUCCUAGCCCUGAGAAGCUUUUUAAAAAAUUCAGUCUGGGACUCCUUAUAAAAAUUAUGGCAAAGCACCUCUUUGAGAAAAACUUGGUUGCCACUGAAGCAGAGCCCCAUGCCACCUGCUCCUGUUCCUGCCUCACUGCUCUUCACUCUCCCCGAAGAACAAGUCGAUCAGGAAGCCAU
rnacentral:lncRNA from 1 species